rnacentral:tRNA from 1 species
GUUUUAAUAAUUUAAAUAAAAUAUUGGUCUUGUAAACCAAACUUAAGAAUAUCUUUUAAAACU